AACACUGCGUGCUGAGGUGUUGUGGUGUCUCCACACAGCGGAGAAACACCAUUCACUGAACUCAAACGAAAACUUGGCUGAAGUUUUCAAGGCUAUGUUUCCAGAUUCGGAUAUAGCAAAGUCGUUCACUUGUGGCAAGGACAAAACUGGAUACAUCAUACGAUUCGGGUUAGCACCACACUUCAAGCAGGAGCUCAUCAACACCAUCAACAACGCUGGCCAGUUUCUUUUAAUGUUUGACGAGUCGCUCAACCAGUCAACAAAAACGAAACAGCUUGAUGUCCACAUUCGAUUCUGGGAAGAUGACCGUGUCCAAUCUAGAUGCUGAUAAGUUAGCCGAGCAGGCAGAGGGGAAAUCUGGGACAUUAAUGGCACAACUGAUCACGAAGUCCAACAUCCUCAGAAGACGUAGUAAAGAAAAAUGGAACGAAUUGGUCCAAACUGAGAAGCUGCUGGGAACAAAAUCAGAAGAACUGAGGCACAUGUCAGCAUGAUUGUUGUUGAGGGUGGAGCAAAGUUUUGUUUUGUUUUUUAAUAAACUUUGCUUUGAUUUACUA